GACGAACGCUGGUGGCGUGCUUAACACAUGCAAGUCGAACGGGAUUUAUUAAAAAGAAGCCUCGGGGGAGGAUUACUAAUGAGAGUGGCAAACGGGUGAGUAACCCUUGACCAACCUGCCUAUAACGGUGGAUUAGCCUCGGGAAACCGGGAUUAUUCCGCCUUAAAAUGGUGAAAAAAAAGUUUUUACCGUUAAAAGAUUUAUCGGUCAUAGAUGGGCUCGCGUCUGAUUAGCUAGUUGGUGAGAUAACAGCCCACCAAGGCGACGAUCAGUAGCCGGUCUGAGAGGAUGAACGGCCACAUUGGAACUGAGACACGGUCCAAACUCCUACGGGAGGCAGCAGUGGGGAAUAUUGCACAAUGGGGGAAACCCUGAUGCAGCGACGCCGCGUGAACGAAGAAGGUAUUCGUAUCGUAAAGUUCUGUCCUAUGGGAAGAUAAUGACAGUACCAUAGAAGAAAGCUCCGGCUAAAUACGUG
rnacentral:rRNA from 1 species